rnacentral:rRNA from 1 species
AAAGCGUUCGUAGGCGGUUUUAUAAGUCUGCUGUCAAAGUGCGGAGCUCAACUCCGUAAGAGCAGUGGAAACUGUGAGACUAGAGUGUGGUAGGGGUAGAGGGAAUUCCCAGUGUAGCGGUGAAAUGCGUAGAUAUUGGGAAGAACACCGGUGGCGAAAGCGCUCUACUGGACCAUAACUGACGCUGAGGGACGAAAGCUAGGGGAGCGAAAGGGAUUAGAUACCCGAGU